GUUGGUUUCACCCGAAGGUAGUGCGCUAACCGCAAGGAGGCAGCUAACCUCGGUGGGAUCAGCGACUGGGGUGAAGUCGUAACAAGGUAGCCGUAGGUGAACCUGCAGAAGGAUCA
rnacentral:rRNA from 1 species